rnacentral:tRNA from 1 species
CAGCGCGGGCGGCAGGGCGGCGUAGUCGGGCGCCUUCUCGAGCAGGGCGAGUCCUGCGGCCGCGCGGCCCGGGGUUCCGGCCACCGCCACGAUGUC